AGAAGGCGCGUCGAGGAAUACCUGUUCAGUCACGGUGAACGCAGCGAGUUUGGCUGCAAAUGUCACGAUUCAAUCUCAUAAACUUGAGUAUUCAACCAUACUUGUGGCAAUUAGUUGUUCUUCUAUCGGAAUACGAGCCGUGAACCUGAAUAAGAUGACUUCCGCCGAGUUACUGACGCCUGAAACUCCGGUUGAUUUUUUGAAGCACCAGAUUUACUGCUGAACUCAGUGAUGGCGAGCUCAACCUGAUGAGACUGUGGACGGUCGUAGCGGCGUGGCCUGCCAGAAGAUGUCAGAUUUGUUUGACCGUUCACUGUGAUUCCAGAUAAGAGCACGCAUACACACACUACCCAGAUAAUAGCAUUAAUGAACACCGAGCACACUUGUGGACACGAAAACUGAACUAUUGAACCACUCAAAACUCCAAACUCAAAGGGACAAUUAGCAUUGGAGAGCCCAACUCCCAGAGAUUCAUUCUUUUGUUUUUCCAAUUUUUUCUUCUUAAAGAGAUAUAUUUUGUUAUUUUGUAAAACAUUAAUCAGCACUGUGAAUGUAUUUUCUUUUGUUGUGGAGCAAUAAAUGUGUCAACUGUUCAACACAAUA